ACCCAGCAGCGUCCCUCCUCGGCCCCUACCUCUGCCAAUUUCUGGAGAAAGACUGUUUCCACAUUGCAGGCCAGGGGCUUGCGAUCUAAGCUGAGCCCCAGCCAGUGGGAAUGUAAGGUCCUCAGCAGCACGGGAUGGCAGUGUCGGGGAGAUGUUUCAGUUGGAACAUCCAGGCUGAGAAGGAGCGAGCGGCGGGUCCAGGUCUGUGGGCAAAAUGUGCGACAUGGGUCUCCCUGGGCUACAAUCAAGGUUUUGAGAAGCUGUGUCCCUUCUGGAGGCUCUAGGCAUCAACAGCUAAUGAGCCUCAACUCCAAGCCAAGUUCUCUGCUCUCGUGGAAAUUAUGUUCUGAAGGGAGAGGCAGCCGAAACUUUUUUCUGACAUACAACCCAAGUGGAGUCCAGCACUUGAAAAUUGAGCUUCUCUGCUAGACAUGGUGCUGGGCACCCUGCUUGCUGCCCUUCAUCCUCCACCAAGUCCCUCCCUGGAGCCUGAGGUGGGGCGGGAACCAUCUCUUUACAAAUGUGACCAGAACUUCGAUCUGAUCUUUCCAUCCCACCACAUAAGCUGUCUGGUAACCAGGUGCAGAUUUCCAAAGCAAAAGUCAGCUCCAGAUUUUUGAAAAAACAAACAAAAAACAACUCAUCAUUUUCUGUGGCUUUCUAGAAUGCAACCAGGCAACGCAUAUAAAAAGCUUCAGAAUCCUGAAAACCUUUGAUAGAACAACUCAACUCUCAAGAAUUAUCCUAAGAAAAGUCUUCAGUACAGAAGACGUAGGUUCCUACAAGAUGCUUACUGCUGUCCCAAUUAUAAAAGCAGGGAGAAAUGAUAAGCCUUCUAGAUGCUCAGCAGUAAGGGAAGGUAAGAUUACCUGCUUGUGCUCACGGGGAAGGCAGCCUUUAAGGGGGACGAGAAGUCACACUUGAUAUGGAAAUAGGCCCAUGAUGGUGUAAAGUGAGAAGUAAAGUGACAAAAUGUUGUGGACAGAAAGAUCCCAUUUUCGUAAAAGAAAAGAAAAAAAAAGAAGAUAUGUGUGUAGAAGAAAAGGGUAGAUGCCAAUAUUUUAAUUGUGGGAUUAUGAGUCAUUUUUUUUUUUGCUCACUUGUAUUUCUAGAUUUUCUACAAUAAACGUAUUUCCCUUUUAUAAGAAACAACAGGACUUCCUUGGUGGUCCAGUGGUUAAG